AUUGAACGCUGGCGGCAGGCUUAACACAUGCAAGUCGAGCGAGCGGCGGACGGGUGAGUAAUGUCUGGGAAACUGCCUGAUGGAGGGGGAUAACUACUGGAAACGGUAGCUAAUACCGCAUACUAUCAGAGGUGCCCAGAUGGGAUUAGCUAGUAGGUGGGGUAAUGGCUCACCUAGGCGACGCUCCCUAGCUGGUCUGAGAGGAUAACCAGCCACACUGGAACUGGAACAGGGUCCAGACUCCUACGGGAGGAAGCAGUGGGAAAUAUUGCACAAUGGGCGAAAUCCGAACGCGGCCAUGCGGCGUGUGUAAAGAAGGCCUUCGGUUUGUAAAGCACGUUGAGCGGGGAGGCGUUACUCGCAGAAGAAGCACCGGCUAACUCCGUGCCAGCAGCCGCGGUAAUUC
rnacentral:rRNA from 1 species